AACCCCGGAGAAAGUGUCCUUUUUUUUUUAUUCCCUUUUUCAUUGAUUAUUUUUUCAGAAACAGAUAAUCUUUUAUAAAAAAAAUUUUAAAGAUUUUAGUCUCUCAAAAAUGCUAUAAAAAAAGAAAACACGAAAUCAGAAAUUUAUUAAACCUUUAUUUUUAUAUUUCUAUAACAUAUGUUUGUCGCUCAAGGUCCGACAUCGAUACAUAUUAUGUUUCAAACUAUAAUUGUUUUAAAACCCGACUGAAGCGUACAUAGCGGUGAAUUUUUGAACGUAAUGUAGAAUUUAAGAUUUCAAAUAAACAAUAGUUGGAAAUCUUUUACACUGAGUUAGUGUAGUGCUUUUUAGCACACAAAACAAAGCAAUUUUGUUUGUACUAAAUAAUACUUUGUAAAUUGUCUAUUGUGAGAAUAUAAAAUAAAUUAUUGAAACCAGGGUUCUUUUUAAUGGAAAUUAAUCAAUAAUUGUUUCUUUAAAAAAAACAACCUCUUGAAAAUUUAUUUGAUUCUAUUAAUCAACUACCUUACAUUAAUUUUCCAGCAACAUGAAAACUGAAAAAAUGUUGCAAUUUAGCUAGAUGUUCCGUUAAAAUUCACUCGUUGCAUUGAAAUUUUAACAAAGUAUGAAGGAAUUUUUUUUCUUUAUAGACGUUUACCACAGUAGUUACAAAUACUUUGACAUAGAAAAUGACACUGUAUGAUACCUAGAUAAGAAAAUGGUUGAAUAUACGUUUCAUAUCAAAUACACAAUGGUUUUAUUUGCAGCUCGCAGGUGCGGUCUAGUAGUUAUGAUGUCUGCAUGACACGCAGAAACUUCAAGUUCGAUCCUUGGUACUCGUAGCUUUUAUAAUGUUUUGUUAUGUUUUUUGAUAAAGAGUAAAAAACAAAUAACGACUUUCCAAUUUAAUAGCAAUGUGUUUCGAUUUAUAAUCAACUUAUUUUCAUGCACAGCCUGAAACAUCAAAAAAAAUUUUUUAUUAUUUAUAAGAAGAGAAACACAUGAAGUGCAGCAAUCCAGUGUUUACAUUUUCUUUUUCACCUGAAAAUAUCACCUCGAAACACUGCUCACACUACUAGACACUCUGUUACCAGGGCUUUUAACCAACAUACGUAACAGGAUAUUUUGAAAAAUAAAAUUAAAUUUUGUUACAACUGUUUCACAAUAAAAAAAUAAUCAAGAUGAGAUUUAAAUAAAAGCGCCAGCAUUUAUCCAAAAACAUUUAAAUUGUGUUAAAAACGUAAUUUAAAUACAUUAUAAGUUUUUUCUUAUAUUUAAAUAUAUGUACCCGGCUUGAAUAAAACUGAUCAUUAUAACAAAUCAUAAUUUUAAUUUUAAAAUAAAAAAAAUGAGUAUCUUCACUAGAAACAAAGUAUAGAAUAGAGGUUAUGCAUUUAUUUAUAUGCGUCGAAAUUCAACAAACGUUUCUAAAGUCCCGCAGCGGGGACAGUAUUGUAAAAUUCACUAUGUCUUUAUCAAAAAGGACAACAAAACUACCAGAGGAUUGCAUGUUUUCGUGAUAUAAUGCCUGAAUUAAAAAUGCAUAAGAAAAAAAAAGAAAACGUUUACCUUCCUGUGAUAUGCUAAAUUUAUUUAGGAAUUUCAAAUUAAGCGUUUUGUCAUGUUUUGCUUAAAACCUGAUUAAAAUUUAAUUGUAAAAUGUUUCAAGCAAAUAAAAAUUGAAUUUCAUGCCAUUUUUCAUUUGUGUUGAUUAAAACUAACUCGACACAAAACUUUACGAAAAGAAUAGAAACUUUUUCAACGCAAAAGUCGCUUGAAGUAAAAAUAACUGAUCCGUUGUUAAAGAUUGUAGCAUUCGUAAAUCAACGAGGUGGUGUUAAUAAGAUGGUAUUAAAUAAAAGAAAAUUGACAGAGUGUUAAAGCGGAGAUUUAAAACUACAUAGAGUAAAAAUCGUUGAAACCAACGCAACAUUUGUUUUAUUUUUAGCCUAGGCAAUUUUAGUGAGAAAAAAAAAAAUUUAAGUACUUUGUUCCGUUUCAAAAACAACCAUCUCUCUCGGUCCUCUGUUGUGUUAUAGGAAAUGAAGUUAUGUUCUUUUUGCUGACAUCAAAUAUCAUGAGGCGUUUCGGGCAUUUUCGAUUAUGUAAAUAGAAAAUAAUAUCUCUAAUACUAAAGGACAAUUUAAAAAGACAACAAAUCAAUACACCAUCCUCAGUAAACUAAUUGUGCAUCUAAAGAAUGUCCAGGAAGAAAGCAUCCAAGAAUCAAACAGUAAGGCAACAAAGGUAAAAGUAGAAACGAAAAAAUCAAAAAUCUGUGAAAUCUACAGUUUUACGCGAAAGAAUUAAGAAAUUAUGGAUUUGUUAUCCUACUAAAUAGGAAAAUAAAAUAUCACAAUUUAUGUGGAAGCAAGCUUCAGCCUAACCCCGGAGGUUUUUAACUCUGUUUUUAUACGUAAAGCGAAGUCGUUUUUUAAAAAAUAUAAAUUUUAGUGUCGGACACAUCGUCCACCGACGUGUAAUUAUAAUAACUAAAGAAUGUCCAGUUAUUCGGCUAUUGUGCACCAUGCUGUACGAUUUAUUGGAAUUAAAGGAAUAGGAUUUUCAAUAAUAAAAAUACAACUGCAACGUUACGUCAUUACACCUAAUACACUAAACAUUAAAAGAAUUUAAAUUUACUGAUAUCGUUUUGAGUGUAUAAACUGAAAAAUAAUUUUUUUAAAA